rnacentral:rRNA from 1 species
CCUACGGGCGGUAGCAGUAGGGAAUCUUCCACAAUGGGCGAAAGCCUGAUGGAGCAACGCCGCGUGGGUGAAGAAGGUCUUCGGAUCGUAAAACCCUGUUGUUAGAGAAGAAAGUGCGUGAGAGUAACUGUUCACGUUUCGACGGUAUCUAACCAGAAAGCCACGGCUAACUACGUGCCAGCAGCCGCGGUAAUACGUAGGUGGCAAGCGUUAUCCGGAUUUAUUGGGCGUAAAGGGAACGCCGGCGGUCUUUUAAGUCUGAUGUGAAAGCCUUCGGCUUAACCGGAGUAGUGCAUUGGAAGCUGGGAGACGUGAGUGCAGAAGAGGAGAGUGGAACUCCAUGUGUAGCGGUGAAAUGCGUAGAUAUAUGGAAGAACACCAGUGGCGAAAGCGGCUCUCUGGUCUGUAACUGACGCUGAGGUUCGAAAGCGUGGGUAGCAAACAGGAUUAGAUACCCCAGUAGUC